rnacentral:rRNA from 1 species
UGGGGAAUAUUGGACAAUGGGGGAAACCCUGAUCCAGCAAUGCCGCGUGAGUGAAGAAGGCCUUAGGGUUGUAAAGCUCUUUCGCCCGUGACGAUGAUGACGGUAACGGGAGAAGAAGCCCCGGCUAAUUCCGUGCCAGCAGCCGCGGUAAUACGGAAGGGGCUAGCGUUGUUCGGAUUUACUGGGCGUAAAGCGCAUGUAGGCGGCGGAUCAAGUGAGGCGUGAAAGGCCUGGGCUCAACCUGGGAACGGCGCUUCAGACUGGUUUGCUCGAGUUCGGGAGAGGGUGGUGGAAUUCCCAGUGUAGAGGUGAAAUUCGUAGAUAUUGGGAGGAACACCGGUGGCGAAGGCGGCCACCUGGCCCGAGACUGACGCUCAAGUGCGAAAGCGUGGGGAGCAAACAGG